rnacentral:rRNA from 1 species
GAUGAACGCUGGCGGCGUGCCUAAUACAUGCGAGUCGAGCGAACAGACGAGGAGCUUGCUCCUCUGACGUUAGCGGCGGACGGGUGAGUAACACGUGGAUAACCUACCUAUAAGACUGGGAUAACUUCGGGAAACCGGAGCUAAUACCGGAUAAUAUAUUGAACCGCAUGGUUCAAUAGUGAAAGACGGUUUUGCUGUCACUUAUAGAUGGAUCCGCGCCGCAUUAGCUAGUUGGUAAGGUAACGGCUUACCAAGGCAACGAUGCGUAGCCGACCUGAGAGGGUGAUCGGCCACACUGGAACUGAGACACGGUCCAGACUCCUACGGGAGGCAGCAGUAGGGAAUCUUCCGCAAUGGGCGAAAGCCUGACGGAGCAACGCCGCGUGAGUGAUGAAGGUUUUCGGAUCGUAAAACUCUGUUAUUAGGGAAGAACAAAUGUGUAAGUAACUAUGCACGUCUUGACGGUACCUAAUCAGAAAGCCACGGCUAACUACGUG